AUUGAACGCUGGUGGCAUGCUUUACACAUGCAAGUCGAACGGUAACAGGUUAAGCUGACGAGUGGCGAACGGGUGAGUAAUGCAUCGGAACGUGCCCGAUCGUGGGGGAUAACGCAGCGAAAGCUGCGCUAAUACCGCAUACGAUCUGAGGAUGAAAGCGGGGGACCGUAAGGCCUCGCGCGAUCGGAGCGGCCGAUGUCAGAUUAGGUAGUUGGUGGGGUAAAGGCUCACCAAGCCAACGAUGUGUAGCUGGUCUGAGAGGACGACCAGCCACACUGGGACUGAGACACGACCCAGACUCCUAGGGGAGGCAGCAGUGGGGAAUUUUGGACAAUGGGCGAAAGCCUGAUCCAGCAAUGCCGCGUGCAGGAAGAAGGCCUUCGGGUUGUAAACUGCUUUUGUACGGAGCGAAAAGGCCCUCUCUAAUACAGGGGGCUCGUGACGGUACCGUAAGAAUAAGCACCGGCUAACUACGUGCCAGCAGCCGCCGUAAUAC
rnacentral:rRNA from 1 species